rnacentral:rRNA from 1 species
UAGGGAAUCUUCCGCAAUGGACGCAAGUCUGACGGAGCAACGCCGCGUGAGUGAAGAAGGUUUUCGGAUCGUAAAACUCUGUUGUAAGAGAAGAACAAAUUGUAGAGUAACUGCUACAGUCUUGACGGUAUCUUACCAGAAAGCCACGGCUAACUACGUGCCAGCAGCCGCGGUAAUACGUAGGUGGCAAGCGUUGUCCGGAUUUAUUGGGCGUAAAGGGGGCGCAGGCUGUUUCUUAAGUCUGAUGUGAAAGCCCACGGCUUAACCGUGGAAGUGCAUUGGAAACUGGGAAGCUUGAGUACAGAAGAGGAAAGUGGAACUCCAUGUGUAGCGGUGGAAUGCGUAGAUAUAUGGAAGAACACCAGUGGCGAAAGCGACUUUCUGGUCUGUCACUGACGCUGAGGCCCGAAAGCGUGGGUAGCAAACAGG